AUUGCGCUGCGACGUUGGUGACUGCCAUCAAGUUUUUUGAUCUAUGUCUUUAAGAAAAUGGGAGUCGAUUGUUCUUUGUGGCAGUAUACCGGGCUUAGUUCUCGGAAACUUUAAACGAAGCGAAAGGUUCCCACCCUGGUUUAUCCAGGUCAAAAACUUAGGUAAAACGGCGUUGCGGUCAUACA
rnacentral:other from 1 species